AUCAAGCAAUAUCAAAGAAAUACAAUUACGAUCUUUGGCUUUUCUUUCUCUAUAUUAUGAUGAUACCAUGUUUCAACACAGCCACCCAAACACAAAGCAAUCACAGGUCGAGCGCAAGAAUAAGAGCUCGUCAAGGAGUCACUAAUCUGUAGCAAAGCUUUGCUAUCAGGUUGAGCAGCUGCCGAUGGUGAUGAAGUGACGAGCGGGACUCUUUUGUCUUAUUAUGUAUUAAUGAACUCUAGGGUUACAUGUCUUCAUACAUGUAAUCAGAACCUUAUUCCGCUGCGUACUCAGGAGUCUUAUGUUAUUUUGGUUAAGUCGGAGUUAUCCGAACUUACUAGUUAUUUGAGUCUAUACGACUAAAACUCCGUUAUAUUAUAAAUAUCCCUGUUGUUAACAAUGAUACUGCGAUCCUUUCUUGUUUGAUUAUUCCCCUUUCUACCCCGCUUCUAA